GGACCCCUCUGGCUCCUUCUAGACUCCUGCGUCUCGGACUCCAUGAUACUCCCCUGUGCUCGGCACUGAAUUGUGAGCUCUCAGGCUGCCGCCACCCAGAUGCCCUCUCACCGGGCUCCAUUUCUCGUCCUUCCAUCUCCCUCAGCUCCCGCUCCGGCCCCAGCCGUAUCUUUACAGCAGUCGCCAUGGUCCUCACACCACAUGCAGAACACGGCCCUGCUUUCCUCCGGGCAGAUGGCAGGCGAUUUCCCUCCACCCACGCCCUGGAUGUGCGGGUCUGUCACUGAAGGGCCGCAUGGCCCCGGGUUCCUCUCAUUAUGGCGCCGGGUCCCAGACACUUACUUGUCCUGCAGCCAUCAGAGGGAAUUAAAAUGAACAGCCGCCCUGACGUGAGGGGAGCCGGCCCAAGACGCCCAUGGUUACCCACUCACAGCAGGAAACUCGCAAUCAAAUUCUAACAAAAGGUCACAUUUGCAAUAAGUAAAAAGGAAAUGUAGGUAAUUGGUUCUGGAGCCCGUUAAUACCUCUGCAGCCCUGAGAGGCAAUCUGAUGGACUUGAAACCUUUUUGUUCAGCGGAAGUGACCUGGGCCGUGACUGCACAGCAGCGAUGUUCGUGGCCGGUUCUAUGAGGGGACUGCAUGGCUGUGUCCUCGGACCUUACACAGAUGCUGCUGCAAGUUCUCCAGUGUCACCACAGGCCCCCCCAUGCGUCGUGGGAAUCUCAUCGUUUAUAUAAACCAAGGUGAAACGCCACAUCUAAAAAAAUACAGACAUUCACGGAGACUUUGAGGACAGGCAGUGUGAGAACACAGUGCCUCUCCAUGUGGACCCAGGACUCAACCUAAAACAACCAGUGCAAGCACUUGGCAAAACGAGGAGGCCACAGGACAGGGGCUGGCAGUGCACUGGUCCAGAGGAGCUCGUCUUACAGGGGAACCGGCAAAGUCCAGCUUCAAGUUUUUGAAGCCAAAUUCAUCUGAAUGUAAACCGGCUUGGUUUGGAGUCUCUCCUUAGGAGCCUGGAGUAGCAGCUCCAUCCUGAAGGUGGCUUUCUCAAAGAAACCGUUGGAUUUUCCUCUCCACAUGGGACUUCCUCUCGAUUCAUAAGAAGUAAUUUGGACAGUGACUUAAAUAAUUUCUGAGAUAAAGAAGGCAUGAUGGAAUCACCGUGGUAACUGCAGCUUGGCUCACAAAGGCAUCGAUCUCACAUGUGACACUUGUGUUGACUUUUAGGAAGGAUGGCACAGCAGUCCUACCUGUGCCACUGGCAGUGAUGACAAACCAUUUUUGAUGGGUGAUUUAUUUUUCAUGGCGAUGGUGUUCUCUAGUGUCUGAUUAGAGGAGCAGCUCAUUCUUCCUAUUUUCAAGUGGAAUAGAUUUUUGAGGAAGAUUUCAGCUCACCUGGGGGUUUGGAUCAGAAAAAUUCUGUGGCUUAUAAAGUCAUUUGUUCUUUUGCUGUGAUUGUAUUCACAGCAGAAGGGUGAGCGAAAGGUCAGCAAUAACUCUGCUGUUGCAUUUUAGCUGGAAAAAAUGUAAUAUUGAUCCAUAAGAAAAUGGAGAAGCUCAAGUGUGAGGCCUCACUUGAUCUUCUGCGACCUUUCCCCCACCAUGUUGAUUUUACGCUUAAAUGUUAUGUCUCCUGUUCAAAAGGUUUGUCCUGUUUAGUCUCCUAUUUAAUUAGUACAUCGUCGUCUUCACUCUCUCUAAUGUGGCAACAAGAUGUCUCCUUGGUUCCUUGUUGGACCAUCAUUCUUGCUUGAUAUUUUCUCUGCCAUUGAAACUGGCUUAUAUAGAAUCCCACCAAUGGCACCUGACACCUCUGUCUUC